rnacentral:rRNA from 1 species
CCGGACUGGCCCAGGGAGGUCGGCAACGACCACCCAGGGCUGAAAAGCUAUCCAAACUCGAUCAUUUAGAGGAAGUAAAAGUCGUAACAAGGUCUCCGUUGGUGAACCAGCGGAGGGAUCAUUG